AUUUUAAUUGAAUGCUAAGAGAAUGGAAUUUCAGAAAAAAACUUUUUUCAAGUUAAAAAUUGAAAUUUUUUUAAUUUGUGCAGAAACAAUUAUUAAUAUUAAGGACAAGAAGACCCUAUGAAUUUAUAAAUUUUAUUUAAUAUGUAACUACUAUUAAAAAAAAUUUUAGCUGGGGCGGCGGAAAAAUAUUUAAAACUUUUUAAAAAUAAAAUGACCCAUUAUUAAUGAUUAUAUGUUAAAUACUCUAGGGAUAACAGCGUUAUAUUUUUUGAUAGACCAUAUUGACAAAAAAGUUUGCGACCUCGAUGUUGGAUUAGGAUACUUUUUUAAUGCAGAUAUUAAAAAAAGAAGUUUG
rnacentral:rRNA from 1 species